rnacentral:rRNA from 1 species
GAGCGGUAGAGAGAAGCUUGCUUCUCUUGAGAGCGGCGGACGGGUGAGUAAUGCCUAGGAAUCUGCCUGGUAGUGGGGGAUAACGUUCGGAAACGGACGCUAAUACCGCAUACGUCCUACGGGAGAAAGCAGGGAACCUUCGGGCCUUGCGCUAUCAGAUGAGCCUAGGUCGGAUUAGCUAGUUGGUGGGGUAAUGGCUCACCAAGGCGACGAUCCGUAACUGGUCUGAGAGGAUGAUCAGUCACACUGGAACUGAGACACGGUCCAGACUCCUACGGGAGGCAGCAGUGGGGAAUAUUGGACAAUGGGCGAAAGCCUGAUCCAGCCAUGCCGCGUGUGUGAAGAAGGUCUUCGGAUUGUAAAGCACUUUAAGUUGGGAGGAAGGGUUGUAGAUUAAUACUCUGCAAUUUUGACGUUACCGACAGAAUAAGCACCGGCUAACUCUGUG